rnacentral:misc_RNA from 1 species
CUAAGCAAGUUGAAAAACUGCUAAACCCCUGUGAACAUACCUGUAUAGUUGCUUCGGCGGGCAGCCCCAGGGCGGGGCCGCAGCCUUUUAUAGGUGCCCGCCGACAGCAUUAAAACUCCUGUUUUACAGUUACUCUGAGUUAUAAAACAAAUAAGUCA